GAAAUUAAGUUUUUAUCUCAUUUUUGUGUUUCUGAAAUCAUGCUUUUUCUUCUAGGAGCUGAGAGAUACAGAUUGAAAGGUUUUUUUGGAUUUAGUUCUUCAGAACUACCCUUGAUAUACAAAAUAGCUGAUGUAACUAAAUUAUAGAUAUGCUUAUAAAUCACAGAAUUGACAUGCCUCUAUAUUAUACAUACACGUAUAUAGCAGUGUAUUUUUCAUCUUCUGGAGAGCAAGUUGAGUUUCUAGUUUAAAUAAUUUAACCAGCUGUAUUGAUGUAGGCUGUAUGAUGAAAAGGGUGAAGUCUAUUAUUAAGCAUGUAUGCCUUUAUAAAUGUUAACUUUGUAGUAAUUAAUAGAUUAACAAUACCUAUUGUCAUUGACAGCACUAUUGUAAUUAAAAGAACUCAGAUGAUAAAGCCAAAUUCCAUUUUGAAAGACAUCAGGGCAUUUUAAAAUGUUU
rnacentral:lncRNA from 1 species